rfam:Triticum urartu cultivar G1812 contig93338, whole genome shotgun sequence.
AAGCUACUCCCUCCGUUCCAAAUUACUUGUCGCAGGUAUGGAUGUAUCUAGAUAUAUUUUAGUUCUAGAUACAUCAAUUUCUGCGACGAGUAAUUUGGAACGGAGGGAGUAAUAG